AUUGAACGCUGGCGGCAUGCUUUACGCAUGCAAGUCGAACGGCAGCGCGGGCUUCGGCCUGGCGGCGAGUGGCGAACGGGUGAGUAAUGCAUCGGAACGUGCCCAGUAGUGGGGGAUAGCCCGGCGAAAGCCGGAUUAAUACCGCAUACGACCUGAGGGUGAAAGCGGGGGACCGAAAGGCCUCGCGCUAUUGGAGCGGCCGAUGUCGGAUUAGCUAGUUGGUGGGGUAAAGGCUUACCAAGGCGACGAUCCGUAGCUGGUCUGAGAGGGCGACCAGCCACACUGGGACUGAGACACGGCCCAGACUCCUACGGGAGGCAGCAGUGGGGAAUUUUGGACAAUGGGGGCAACCUUGAUCCAGCCAUGCCGCGUGCGGGAAGAAGGCCUUCGGGUUGUAAACCGCUUUUGUUCGGGAAGAAAUCCUCUGGGCUAAUACCCCGGGGGGAUGACGGUACCGGAAGAAUAAGCACCGGCUAACUACGUG
rnacentral:rRNA from 1 species